rnacentral:rRNA from 1 species
UACAGAGGGGGCAAGCGUUGUUCGGAAUUACUGGGCGUAAAGGGCGCGUAGGCGGCCUGUUAAGUCGAACGUGAAAUCCCCGGGCUCAACCCGGGAACUGCGUCCGAUACUGGCAGGCUUGAAUCCGGGAGAGGGAUGCGGAAUUCCAGGUGUAGCGGUGAAAUGCGUAGAUAUCUGGAGGAACACCGGUGGCGAAGGCGACCCGCUGGCCAGCGACUGACGCUGAGACGCGAAAGCGUGGGGAGCAAACAGG